GUAACAUUAGUACUUGUACUAGAUGACGACCGGCGCACGGGUGCGUAACGCGUAUGCAACCUACCCAUAACAGGAAGAUAGCCCGGAGAAAUUCGGAUUAAUAUUCCAUAGUACCACAAGAUGGCAUCUGAAAGUGGUUAAAGAUUUAUCGGUUAUGGAUGGGCAUGCGUAUGAUUAGCUAGUUGGUGAGGUAACGGCUCACCAAGGCGACGAUCAUUAGGGGGUCUGAGAGGAUGAUCCCCCACACUGGCACUGAGAUACGGGCCAGACUCCUACGGGAGGCAGCAGUAGGGAAUAUUGGUCAAUGGAGGCAACUCUGAACCAGCCAUGCCGCGUGCAGGAUGACGGCCUUCUGGGUUGUAAACUGCUUUUAUAUGGGAAGAAAAGGCCAUGCGUGGCUCUAUGACGGUACCAUACGAAUAAGCACCGGCUAACUCCGUGCCAGCAGCCGCGGUAAUACGGAGGGUGCAAGCGUUGUCCGGAAUUAUUGGGUUUAAAGGGUGCGUAGGCGGUCUUUUAAGUCAGAGCUGAAAUCCAACGGCUUAACCGUUGAACUGGCUUUGAUACUGGAAGACUUGAGUAUACUAGAGGUAGGCGGAAUUUAAGAUGUAGCGGUGAAAUGCAUAGAUAUCUUAAAGAACACCAAUAGCGAAGGCAGCUUACUGGAGUAUAACUGACGCUGAGGCACGAAAGCGUGGGGAGCGAACAGGAUUAGAUACCCUGGGUAGUCCACGCCGUAAACGAUGAUUACUCGAUGUGCGCUUUUAGAGGUGCGCGUCCAAGCGAAAGCGUUAAGUAAUCCACCUGGGGAGUACGCUCGCAAGAG
rnacentral:rRNA from 1 species